rnacentral:tRNA from 1 species
GGACUUGUAGCUCAAUGAUAGAGCAACUUGCAGUCAUCCAAUGAAGACUGUUAUGUUUCUUGUGGGUUUGAAUCCCACCAAGUCCA